UGGGGUGUGGCUCAGUGGUAGAGCACCUGCCUGGUAUGUGUGAUGCCCUGAGUUCGAUCCUCAGCAUUGCAU
rnacentral:tRNA from 2 species